rnacentral:rRNA from 1 species
UACAGAGACUGCAAGCGUUAUUCGGAUUCACUGGGCGUAAAGGGUGCGCAGGCGGCCAAGUGUGUGAGGCGUGAAAGCCUGGAGCUUAACUCCAGAAUUGCACCUCAAACUACUUGGCUAGAGCAGUGGAGAGGGUAGCAGAAUUCAUGGUGUAGCAGUGAAAUGCGUAGAUAUCAUGAGGAAUACCAGAGGCGAAGGCGGCUACCUGGACAAUUGCUGACGCUCAGGCACGAAAGCGUGGGGAGCAAAAGGG